rnacentral:tRNA from 1 species
AAAACAAAAAAGAAAUAAUUAUUUAGCUUCUAACUAAUAUUAAGCGGUUCAAUUCCGUUAUUGUUUUG